rnacentral:tRNA from 1 species
UUGUGGCUCAAUGGUAGAGCACUUGCCUAGCAUGUGUGAGGCACUGGGUUCAAUUCUCAGCAA